rnacentral:rRNA from 1 species
CGUAAACGAUGUCUACUUGGAGGUUGUGGCCUUGAGCCGUGNCUUUCGGAGCUAACGCGUUAAGUAGACCGCCUGGGGAGUACGGUCGCAAGAUUAAAACUCAAAUGAAUUGACGGGGGCCCGCACAAGCGGUGGAGCAUGUGGUUUAAUUCGAUGCAACGCGAAGAACCUUACCUACUCUUGACAUCCAGAGAACUCGCUAGAGAUAGCUUGGUGCCUUCGGGAACUCUGAGACAGGUGCUGCAUGGCUGUCGUCAGCUCGUGUUGUGAAAUGUUGGGUUAAGUCCCGCAACGAGCGCAACCCUUAUCCUUGUUUGCCAGCACGUAAUGGUGGGAACUCCAGGGAGACUGCCGGUGAUAAACCGGAGGAAGGUGGGGACGACGUCAAGUCAUCAUGGCCCUUACGAGUAGGGCUACACACGUGCUACAAUGGCGCAUACAGAGGGCGGCCAACCAGCGAUGGUGAGCGAAUCCCAAAAAGUGCGUCGUAGUCCGGAUUGGAGUCUGCAACUCGACUCCAUGAAGUCGGAAUCGCUAGUAAUCGUGAAUCAGAAUGUCACGGUGAAUACGUUCCCGGGCCUUGUACACAC